rnacentral:rRNA from 1 species
UGGGGAAUUUUGGACAAUGGGCGAAAGCCUGAUCCAGCAAUGCCGCGUGUGUGAAGAAGGCCUUCGGGUUGUAAAGCACUUUUGUCCGGAAAGAAAUGGCUCUGGUUAAUACCUGGGGUCGAUGACGGUACCGGAAGAAUAAGGACCGGCUAACUACGUGCCAGCAGCCGCGGUAAUACGUAGGGUCCAAGCGUUAAUCGGAAUUACUGGGCGUAAAGCGUGCGCAGGCGGUUGUGCAAGACCGAUGUGAAAUCCCCGAGCUUAACUUGGGAAUUGCAUUGGUGACUGCACGGCUAGAGUGUGUCAGAGGGGGGUAGAAUUCCACGUGUAGCAGUGAAAUGCGUAGAGAUGUGGAGGAAUACCGAUGGCGAAGGCAGCCCCCUGGGAUAACACUGACGCUCAUGCACGAAAGCGUGGGGAGCAAACAGGAUUAGAUACCCUGGUAGUCCACGCCCUAAACGAUGUCAACUAGUUGUUGGGGAUUCAUUUCCUUAGU